UACGAAGGGGGCUAGCGUUGCUCGGAAUGACUGGGCGUAAAGGGCGCGUAGACGGUUUGGACAGUCAGAUGUGAAAUUCCUGGGCUCAACCUGGGGGCUGCAUUUGAUACGUUCGGACUAGAGUGGGGAAGAGGGUCGUGGAAUUCCCAGUGUAGAGGUGAAAUUCGUAGAUAUUGGGAAGAACACCGGUGGCGAAGGCGGCGACCUGGUCCUUGACUGACGCUGAGGCGCGAAAGCGUGGGGAGCAAACAGG
rnacentral:rRNA from 1 species